AGUGAACGCUGGCGGUAGGCCUAACACAUGCAAGUCGAACGGCAGCACAGUAAGAGCUUGCUCUUACGGGUGGCGAGUGGCGGACGGGUGAGGAAUACAUCGGAAUCUACUUUUUCGUGGGGGAUAACGUAGGGAAACUUACGCUAAUACCGCAUACGACCAACGGGUGAAAGCAGGGGAUCUUCGGACCUUGCGCGAUUGAAUGAGCCGAUGUCGGAUUAGCUAGUUGGCGGGGUAAAGGCCCACCAAGGCGACGAUCCGUAGCUGGUCUGAGAGGAUGAUCAGCCACACUGGAACUGAGACACGGUCCAGACUCCUACGGGAGGCAGCAGUGGGGAAUAUUGGACAAUGGGCGCAAGCCUGAUCCAGCCAUACCGCGUGGGUGAAGAAGGCCUUCGGGUUGUAAAGCCCUUUUGUUGGGAAAGAAAAGCAGCAGGUUAAUACCCCGCUGUUCUGACGGUACCCAAAGAAUAAGCACCGGCUAACUUCGU
rnacentral:rRNA from 1 species